rnacentral:tRNA from 1 species
GCGAGAGUGGUGAAACUGGUAGACACGCCAGACUUAGGAUCUGGUGCAAUGCGCAUAAGGGUUCGAGUCCCUUCUCUCGCA